rnacentral:sRNA from 2 species
AUGGAACACGCGCGCACUGCGGUUCCCGCGCGCCGCCCACAUCCGCCUGCCGACUGCGCGCCAUGUUCUUAGCC